AGCAGCAUAGUGCAAUGGUGUCA
rnacentral:miRNA from 3 species